GCUGGGCAUGGUGGCGCAUGCCUGUAAUCCCAGCUACUCAGGAGGCUGAGGCAGGAGAAUUGCUUGAAUACAGGAGGCAGAGGUUGCAGUGAGUUGAGAUUACACCACUGCACUCCAGCCUGGGUGACAGAGUGAGACUCUGUCUCAA
ensembl:misc_RNA Metazoa_SRP Metazoan signal recognition particle RNA